GACAGAGGUCCCGAGCGUUAGGCGGAAUCACUGGGCUUAAAGCGUGUGUAGGCGGAUGCCUAAGUACCUUGUGAAAUCCCAUAGCUUAACUAUGGAACUGCUUGGUAUACUGGGUGUCUUGAGCCAGCUAGGGGCGACCGGAACAGACGGUGGAGCGGUGAAAUGCGUAGAUAUCGUCUGGAACGCCAAUGGUGAAAACAGGUCGCUGGGGCUGUGCUGACGCUGAGACACGAAAGCCAGGGGAGCAAACGGG
rnacentral:rRNA from 1 species